UUUAAAAAAUUUUGUUGGGGCGACAGUGAAAUUUACUUAACUUUCACUUUUAAUUAUUCAUUUAUUUAUGUAAUUUUGAUCCAUUAUUAAUGAUUACAAGAUUAAAUUACCUUAGGGAUAACAGCGUAAUUCUUUCGGAGAGUUCUUAUCGAUGAAUGGAGUUUGCGACCUCGAUGUUGGAUUAAAGUAAUUUUAAGGUGCAGAAGCUUUAAAUUUUAGUCUGUUCGACUAUUAAAUCUUUACAUGAUCUGAGUUCAAACCGGCGUGAGCCAGGUUGGUUUCUAUCUACAAUAUUUAUAGUAUAUUUUAGUACGAAAGGACCAUAUAUACAUAAUACUUAUUUAAUUUUUGAGUAAUAUUACUAUUUUGGCAGAUUUAAGUGCAGUAAAUUUAGAAUUUAUAUAUGUAAUUUUUAUUACAAAUAGUA
rnacentral:rRNA from 1 species